rnacentral:SRP_RNA from 13 species
GCUUGGAGUUGGUGGAGGCAUUGGAGUUGGAGGGCUCGCCCAGCCCGUGCUUGGAGGCGGGGGGCGCGCCGUCGCCGAAGAUCCAGCCGCGUUGGUACGCGAGCCAGAGGAAGAGGAGCAG